CUCACCACACGCCCUCCUCUGCCUCGUUUUCUCCCGCCACACUCUCUGUCUUCCUCCCCUCCUCCUAAAUGCCAAGCGUACAGUUACCUUACCUCGUUAGUCAAUGACAUUUUUCUGUGUAAAUAUAUACCCCCAAAUUUCAACCAAAUCCUUUGUUAUUUUUCUUCGAAAUCUACUGAAUUUCUCUUAAUCCAAGACCCAUUUGUUCUGCCCAGCAUUUCCAACUGCAGGUGAGGAUAUAAGGCUCUAUUUAGUUCAUCAUAGAGACCGUUAUUGGAUCAUGGGUUCACAGGAUCCUGUUCCGGUGGCUGACAAGGCUAAUGUAACGGAGACCUCAGUGCGUGGGGCUUGUCCUAGAAAAAAGAUUCACAGGAAAAUUCCUUAGAGAAUCCACAAGGCUGAGAGUGAGAAAUAUAAGCGUGUGUCAUUUUUCUUGAGCUGGCUGAUGCUCCUUGUGACACAUGAGAAGAAUGAGCUCAGAGAGGAUAAUUCUGCUGACAGUCUCCUGCUGAUGAUGGCCAAUGGCUUACUUAUCUUUGCCAAAGCCAUUGAGCAAACAAAGGGUGCUCACUUGUGAAUUAUGAUGCUUCCGUGAGUUUUUCUUCAAUAUCACCCACCAAUCAUCAUAGUUUGUUUGAAGCUUCAAUGCUGUCAGUCUCACUGAAAGUUGGAUAUCAAAUGUAUGGGUGGUAAUAAUGCUUUGCAGUAGUAAGUUGCAGGAGAGAAAAAUGUAGUGCAUGUAUAAAAUUUAUAAAACGCCCCUAGUGUCACAUGUACUUGUAUUAAUAUUG